CCAACGUUAAUCGGGGCAGGGUGAGUCGACCCCUAAGGCGAGGCCGAAAGGCGUAGUCGAUGGGAAACGGGUUAAUAUUCCCGUACUUGGUGUUACUGCGAAGGGGGGACGGAGAAGGCUAUGUUGGCCGGGCGACGGUUGUCCCGGUUUAAGCGUGUAGGUGUGUGUUCCAGGUAAAUCCGGUUCACUUUAACACUGAGGCGUGACGACGAGGCACUACGGUGCUGAAGCAACAAAUGCCCUGCUUCCAGGAAAAGCCUCUAAGCAUCAGGUAACAUCAAAUCGUACCCCAAACCGACACAGGUGGUCAGGUAGAGAAUACCAAGGCGCUUGAGAGAACUCGGGUGAAGGAACUAGGCAAAAUGGUGCCGUAACUUCGGGAGAAGGCACGCUGACACGUAGGUGAAGUGAUUUACUCAUGGAGCUGAAGUCAGUCGAAGAUACCAGCUGGCUGCAACUGUUUAUUAAAAACACAGCACUGUGCAAACACGAAAGUGGACGUAUACGGUGUGACGCCUGCCCGGUGCCGGAAGGUUAAUUGAUGGGGUCAGCGCAAGCGAAGCUCCUGAUCGAAGCCCCGGUAAACGGCGGCCGUAACUAUAACGGUCCUAAGGUAGCGAAAUUCCUUGUCGGGUAAGUUCCGACCUGCACGAAUGGCGUAAUGAUGGCCAGGCUGUCUCCACCCGAGACUCAGUGAAAUUGAACUCGCUGUGAAGAUGCAGUGUACCCGCGGCAAGACGGAAAGACCCCGUGAACCUUUACUAUAGCUUGACACUGAACAUUGAGCCUUGAUGUGUAGGAUAGGUGGGAGGCUUUGAAGUGUGGACGCCAGUCUGCAUGGAGCCGACCUUGAAAUACCACCCUUUAAUGUUUGAUGUUCUAACGUGGACCCGUUACCCGGGUUGCGGACAGUGUCUGGUGGGUAGUUUGACUGGGGCGGUCUCCUCCUAAAGAGUAACGGAGGAGCACGAAGGUUGGCUAAUCCUGGUCGGACAUCAGGAGGUUAGUGCAAUGGCAUAAGCCAGCUUGACUGCGAGCGUGACGGCGCGAGCAGGUGCGAAAGCAGGUCAUAGUGAUCCGGUGGUUCUGAAUGGAAGGGCCAUCGCUCAACGGAUAAAAGGUACUCCGGGGAUAACAGGCUGAUACCGCCCAAGAGUUCAUAUCGACGGCGGUGUUUGGCACCUCGAUGUCGGCUCAUCACAUCCUGGGGCUGAAGUAGGUCCCAAGGGUAUGGCUGUUCGCCAUUUAAAGUGGUACGCGAGCUGGGUUUAGAACGUCGUGAGACAGUUCGGUCCCUAUCUGCCGUGGGCGCUGGAGAACUGAGGGGGGCUGCUCCUAGUACGAGAGGACCGGAGUGGACGCAUCACUGGUGUUCGGGUUGUCAUGCCAAUGGCACUGCCCGGUAGCUAAAUGCGGAAGAGAUAAGUGCUGAAAGCAUCUAAGCACGAAACUUGCCCCGAGAUGAGUUCUCCCUGAGACUUAAAGUCUCCUGAAGGAACGUUGAAGACGACGACGUUGAUAGGCCGGGUGUGUAAGCGCAGCGAUGCGUUGAGCUAACCGGUACUAAUGAACCGUGAGGCUUAACCUUACAACGCCGAAG
rnacentral:rRNA from 1 species